AUGACCAGAGAUAACCUGAGGAAGAGGCACAUCAUUCAACCUCUAGAUUGCGUCUUUUGCUCUGAACAGGAAACUAACACCCACUUGUUUUUUGAAUGCAUAGCAAAAAACAUUUGGUCGUUUGUGGCUGACCACUUUCAGGUCAGGAUAGGAGUAGAGUAUGAAUCUGUUGCCAGAUUUUGGGUAUCCAAUAGGAAGAAUUCUGCUCUAAACACGGGCUCAUCGGUUGUCCUCUGGUAUUUGUGGAAGUAUAGGAACUCUAUUAUCUUUAACAACACCUUUUGGACAUCGAUUUUGCAGGUUUGGAGGUUGAUCCUCAGAACCCUCAAGUUCUGGGCGAUCUUGGCGCCGGAAAGUGGCAAGGCUCGUCUGGAGAUUUUCCUGACAGCACUAACAGCUUUCUUGCUACAGCCGCUGAGAAUAAUGAGUGGCUAA
rnacentral:rRNA from 1 species